rnacentral:lncRNA from 1 species
AGUCAUAAUACAUAGUGAUGAGAAACAAACAUAAUACAUAGUGAUGAGAAACAAACAUAAUACAUAGUGAUGAGAAAUACACGUAAUACAUAGUGAUGAGAAACAAACAUAAUACAUAGUGAUGAGAAACAAACAUACAUGCUAGACAGAGAAAGAACACACAAUACAGCUAGCACAUACAUUACAUAUACUUUACGUUCAGUUAUGUGAGCCAUUAAAUGGAUCAUGGCACUACCUUCCAUGACCAUUUUUGUAUCCAAAAUCUCCUUAAUUGGGGAGCGUAUGAGUUUGCAUAUAGAUCUAUACUGGAUUGACUAUCCUACACCUUGUUGCUCGCUACAGUGGGACUUGCAAGUCUACGGGUGCCAAAUGUCAUUUCUUACGGCGUCUUACAUCGUCGUUUUACUAUUGGUCGGUAGCAGGGUAUAGGCCGAUCACAUGGAACUUUAAAUAACAAUUGGUUUAAGGUACUUAGUACAGUAGUAGUUACUUAAUACAACACUACAGUACUAUAAUAUUUAUCCCAUUACAUUCACUUCGUGAACAUUCACACGAUGCACGGUAAUGUAAAAACUAUAUUUUUGGUUAAUGAUAGUCGGAUUUGGGAAAAUACACACUCUUACAAGAGACACACACAGUUACUAGAUGCCUUGGUAGAAGGCUACUCUUAGUAGGAAACAUAGGGUUUUCUAGGAUAGUUCAAACAAAUACAAACAUUACAAAACUUAUACAUUACAUCUUACAAACAUCUUACAAAUGCUUUCAUACAAACUCAGACACUAAUAUACUUAUGAUCUCACCAGCUUUAAAGGUGAUACUCGCUUUCAAAAUAACUUGUAUUCUCAGGUCACCAGUAGACAGGUACCGGUGCCAGGUUUUUGAGAAGAUGGAGCUUGUUCAAGACUCCUCUUUUAUUUUGAUGUACUUUUUGGUGUCUAUAUAACUUGACAGAACACACUUGUAUGAAAUUAUAUUAUUAAUGCAAUGGAUGAUGUUGUUGCUUGUUUACUACUUUGCAUUGUUGUGAUACUAUACAUGACGUCCUCCACCCCCGAACGAUUCCGCCGUUCAGGUUUUGGGGUGUGACAUAUUGGUAUCAGAGCAUUGUUUAUAGUGAAUUGAGUGUAUCAACCCAUAAAAGAUAUACGAACUAUAAAAACAAGCGGGAUUAAAAUACUCUGAUUAAGAGUUAUACUUAAAAUAAUAAAAUAUUUAACUAAGUAUACAUACCUGCAUUCAUACUAAAAUCAGUGUCACUAGGACAUAACAAAAGUAUUACGAUUAUUGGACAACACACGUAGACUUAGAGACAUAUGGUUAACCCUGGGAAGAUGUAGCAUGAUCAACUACAUUAUCCGAAGAGUAACUAGAAUGUGCCUAAGGAUGGUUGUGAGGUUGCAACAAGUCUAAAAACUUACCAACACUACCACAAUAAGAACAAUAGAACAUAACAUUAAACUUAAAAUACUAUAGGAGUGUUUUGUGUUAGUAUAAUUACUUAUCUGAGAACUAAAGGUCUUUAUUGGUAUGCCCUGGACAAGUGUUGGAGUAACUGAUAAAGAUCACCUUAUAAUUAUCUAGUUAGCUCUUCUAUUAGUUUAUUUCCUUACCCCUUUUCUCGCAUAGAUAUCAUGGCUGGAUUCCAUCAUCAUGACGACCUGUACUUUCCACCCAACGACAAUGCUGGAUGGCUUGAAGCAGAGUCCGAUGAUGAGCAUCAAAUCCCUUUGGAUGAUCAUCAAGCUGAAGGCUUCUCGGAUGGAUCUGACUUCGAGCCCGAAGUCAACAACCUACCUCAAUUAGGUCAAGCCCCGAAUAACAACCCUCAAACCGCAUUUCAAGGACCCACACCUAUGUGGGCAACAAACUUGAAUACAUGGAGCCAUGAACAGGGUCAACCCAUUCCCUACAAUCGAGAUAGAAGUUUCUAUAACCUCACUGAUGGAGGUUCUGCUCACAGAGUCCUACCCAUCAUGGUUCGUAGGAUUUCUCGAAACACGAUACUGGGUCAACCAUCUAUCAAUCGAGUCUUGGAGAUUGACGCCAACACUAGUGUUAACACUGUCCGCAUUCGCCAACUAGAGUCUGCUCAUGAAAGGGUUCUGGUUCACAAUGCAGCUCUUCGGAGGGAACUCGCUGAAACCCGAGCUGAAGUCAGAGAACUUCGAGCUCAACAGGCAAGAGCUGAUAGGCGCAUGAGGGACAUAGAACGUCUUCUGUCGGGAUCAAGAACUCACACUGGUAGUUCUCGUCGCCGAUAGAUUCUCAUCAAUUUCUCUCUUUUGGAUAUAACCUAGUCAUGUAAAACUUUGGUCUAAUCCCCUAUCUUUGUAAAUCAUAGGCCUGUUAGGUCUUGAUUAGGUUUUAAUACUGUCAAAAUUUUCCAAUUUUGGUUGAUGUAAGGCCUCUUUCUGUUGGCCGUUUUUCCUGAACUUGUUACAUCUAUAAUUCCAGUAAUAUUGACAAGUACCUAAUCUUAUGGGAAUUAUUAUCCAAAUGUGAUCAUCUAUUAGUUCUAAGAUUUCCAUUCAAUCGUAUCGUUGAGAUAUGGAGAGUUAGUCCAUGAGUCAUUCUCAUCAAUUCUUCCAUUGAAAUCUUAUCAAUGUUUUUAUCUUCAUAAACUAUAAAUCAAAGAUGCCGCCUCACAGAAAUCCAAGGAGAAACCCUAAUAACGAAACACCACCUCCUCCACCUCCUCAACCACCUACUCCUUAGUUCGACACGAUAGCCUUAAAUGCUGCUAUCGCUGCAGCGGUGGCUACACCCAUGGCUCAGUAUCAUUCAUCUGGUUCCACUGGAGGAGGAACCCCUGUUCAAUCUAUUCAGGUUGAAGCUCCGGUGCGCUCGAGAGAGUGCUCCUAUAAGGACUUCACGAACUGCAAGCCAUUGUCCUUCAAGGGGACUGGCAGAGUCAUUUCCCUCUCGCAAUGGUUCGAGAAAACCGAAUCGGUUUUCGAAAUCUUCUCUUGUUCCGAGGAGAGCAAGGUGAAGUUCGCUGCUUGCACCUUCGAAACUAAAGCCCUAACAUGGUGGAACGGCCAUGUUAAGUCACUAUCUCUUAUAGUGGCUAAUGCUAUGGGCUGGGAAACUUUGAAAGACCUCAUGAUUGAGGAGUACUGCCUGAGGGGCGAGAUCCAAAAGCUGGAGGAAGAGCUAUGGAGCCUAACCAUGGAGGGCUCCAACGUAGUCGCCUACACCGCUAGGUUCUGUGAACUGGUGGCCCUCUGUCCCAACAUGAUUCCUUCAGAGGGAAAGAAGAUCAAGAGAUACAUAUGGGGACUGGUGCCCCCAUACCAGGGAAAUGUUUUGACAUCACACCCCACUACAUUUGAUAGUGCCAAGCGAUUGGCAUAGCGGCUCAUAGACCAUGGGGUUCGUACCCCGGCCGCAACAACUACCCUGGCCAUCUCAGAACCUGCAAGAACCGCUGACUCCAAGCGGAAUUUUUGGGAUGAAAAGAAGAAGGAAAAGGCUGCCAAGAAGAGGCAGGUCGUGGCAGUACAUGCUGUGAUAGCACCUGCCGCUGCUGCUCCGAUAAAGCAGUACGCUGGAAGUUUGCCUAAGUGCAACAAAUGCAACUUCCAUCACGUCGGUGCCUGCCGGGAAAUGCAGUGUAUGAACUGCAACAAGAAGGCGCACACUGCCCAUUUUUGUAAAGCUCCGGUGAAGCCAAUCAACCAAGUCCCCGGUGCUGGAGUGGGCUAAGCUUGCUACGGAUGUGGCGAGGUAGGCCACUACAAAAGAAACUACCCGAAGGCAGGGAUUGCCGGUGGAGUGACAAGAGUCCUGGCCACAGGCCAUGAGGAAGCGGUAGCCGACUCCACAGUGGUCACUAGUAUGUUCCUCCUAGAUAACGCUUAUGCAUGCAUUCUAUUUGAUAGUGGAGCGGAGAGAAGUUUCGUGAACCAAAAGUUUGCUCAAUUACUUAAGCAAAAAUCACGAGCACUUAAUGAACCGUUCACUGUAGAAAUGGCUAAUGGAAAGAUAGAGAGCACUAGCAGUAUAUUCAUAGGGUGUAACCUAACUUUAGAUAGUCAUUCAUUUUAUAUCGAUCUCAUGCCGGUCUCAAUUAAAAGUUUCGACGCCAUUAUCGACAUAGAUUGGUUGAGUCUUCAUCAUGCCGAUAUCAUGUGUUACGAAAAGGAUGUUCGCCUUAAUCUGCUGUCUGGCGAAACCUUAGUAAUUUAUGGCGACAAACCCGACACGAACCUUUGUAUCAUCUCGAGCAUCCAAGCUCAGAAAUUCUUGCGAAAGGAAUGUCGUGUAUUCCUUGCUCAUGUGGUCGAUGUGAGACAAGAAACGAAGGACAUUCAGAACAUUCCAGUAGUACGCGACUUUCCCGACAUCUUUCCAGAAGAACUCCCAGGAUUACCUCCGCAACGUCAAGUCGAGUUCCNGUCCCAGGGGCUCCCCCAGUAGCCAAAUCGCCCUAUCGUCUAGCACCCGCAGAGAUGCAAGAACUGUCCGGUCAACUUAACGAAUUGCUCAGCAAGGGCUUUAUAACACCAAGCUUCUCACUUUUAGGGAGCUCCAGUCUUGUUCGUCAAGAAGAAAGACGGAUCGUUUCGCAUGUGCAUUGACUACAGGGAGCUCAACAAGCUGACCAUCAAAAAUCGUUAUCCGUUGCCUCGUAUCGACGACUUAUUUGAUCAACUUCAAAGGGCGAACUUCUUUUCAAAAAUCGACUUGAGAUCCGUAUAUCACCAACUACGAGUGCUAGGGGAGGAUGUUCCAAAGACAACCUUCCGAACUCGUUAUGGGCACUACGAAUUUGUAGUGAUGCCGUUCGGAUUGACAAAUGCGCCCGUAGUAUUCAUGGACUUAAGGAAUAGGGUGUGUCAUCCUUACUUGGAUCAGUUCGUCAUCGUCUUCAUCGAUGACAUACUUAUCUACUCUCGAAGUAAGGAGGAGCAUAGUCAACAUCUACGUCAAGUCCUCGAAACAUUACGUUCGGAGAAACUCUACGCGAAGUUCUUGAAAUGCGAAUUUUGGAUUCGACGAGUCGAAUUCUUAGGGCACAUGGUUAGCAAAGAGGGUAUACAUGUGGAACCUUCCAAAAUCAAGGCCAUUGAGAACUGGUCAGGACCGAAGAUGCCUACCGAAAUUCGUCAAUUUCUAGGCCUCGCUGGUUGUUAUGGCAGGUUCAUUCAGCACUUCUCCCGCAUAGCGAAACCUAUUACAACACUGACCCAGAAGGGCGUGGCCUUUGACUAGGAAGAGAAGCAGGAGAGAGCGUUCCAAACGCUCAAAUGGGCCUUGUGCACCGCACCAAUACUAUCCCUCCCUGAAGGGAUAGAAGACUUCGUAGUUUAUUGCGAUGCAUCGAAUCAAGGGCUCGGAUGUGUUCUGAUGCAGCGAGGUAAGGUCAUCGCCUAUGCUUUGAGAUAGCUGAAGACACAUGAGGUCAACUACACGACCUACGAUCUUGAACUAGGACCAGUUGUGUUUGCUCUGAAGAUCUGGAGACAUUACUUGUACGUAACGAAGAGCAAUAUCUUUACAGACCACAAGAGCUUACAACACAUCUUCGACCAGAAGGAGCUCAACAUGAGACAACGACGGUGGGUCGAGCUACUCAGUGAUUACGAAUGCGAAAUUCGUUAUCAUCCGGUAAAGCCAACGUAGUAGCUGACACCUUGAGUCGGAAGGAAUAUUUUGGUCGUAGAGUCAAAUCAUUGACUAUGACUAUCCAUUCACACUUUUCCACACAAAUUAAGGCAGCUCAGCUCGAUGCUUUGAAGCCUGAAAAAUGUGGCGGGUGAAUCCCUAAGAGGGAUGGAUAAGAACUUGGAGGUUAAGGGUGGCGGAGCUUAUUAUUUCAUGGACCGGAUCUGGACCCCGAAACUAGGAGGUUUCAGAGACUUGGUCAUGCACGAGGCGCACAACACAUGUUAUUCCGUGCACCCGGGUUUAGAUAAGAUGUAUCUGGAUCUCAAAAAGUUAUACUGGUGGCCUAACAUGAAAGCAGAGAUUGCUACCUUCGUAGGUAAAUGCCUUACUUGCGCAAAGGUCAAGGUCAAAUAUCAGAAACCCUACGGUCUACUACAACAGCCUAAGAUACCGGAAUGGAAGUGGGAGCGGAUAACUAUGGAUUUCAUAACCAAGUUGCCCAAGACUGACCAAGUCUGCACACUUCUUGCCGAUCAAAGAAACAGACAAGAUGGAGAAACUUACAAGAACUUACAUUAGGUAGAUUGUAAGACUGCACAGUGUUCUCUUAUCCAUUAUCUCGGACAGAGAUAGUAGAUUCACUUCGAGGUUCUGGCAGUUGUUACAAAGUUCCUUAGGAACUAGGCUGGACAUGAGUACAACCUACCAUCCACAGACCGACGGGUAAAGUGAGAGAACUAUUCAAACCUUGGAAGACAUGUUGCGAGCCUGUGUGAUUGACUUUGGGAAAGCAUGGGAUACUCAUUUACCCCUUGUCGAAUUUUCCUACAACAACAGUUAUCAAACGAGCAUAAAGGCUGCUCCAUUCGAGGCCCUCUAUGGCCGAAAGUGCAGGUCCCCUCUGUGCUGGACUGAGGUAGGUGAUAACCAGUUAGCUAAAGGACGAAUUCCUGACAGUGCUCUCACAGGUCCGGAAAUCAUACGGGAUACGACGGAGAAGAUCGUUCAGAUCCGCGAAUGAUUGAAAGCCUCCAGAGACCGACAGAAAAGCUACGCUGAUAAACGUAGGAAACCAUUGGAAUUCCAGGUGGGCGACCGUGUUCUAUUGAAAGUCUCACCCUGGUAGGGCUUGAUACGCUUCGGAAAGCGUGGAAAGCUAAAUCCAAGGUACAUAGGGCCUUUCGAGAUUCUCGCAAGAAUCGGCCCUGUAGCUUACAAACUUAACUUACCGCGCAAACUUAGUAACGUACAUUAUACCUUCCACAUAUCGAACUUGAAAAAGUGUCUGUCCGAAGAGACUCUUGUUAUUCCACUCGACGAGAUCGAGAUAAACGAGAGCCUGAACUUCGUGGAGGAACCAGUAGAGAUCAUGGACCGGGAGGUCAAGCAAACGAAACAAAGCCGUAUCCCGAUAGUGAUGGUUCGCUGGAAUGCCAAGCGAGGACCGUAAUUCACUUAGGAGCGUGAGGAUCAGAUGAAACUGAAAUAUCCUCGUCUUUUUACUUAGUUAUUUGUAACUACUUAUCUGCUUAAUUUCUAAUUUCGGGAGAAAAUUCCUUCUAAGGAGGGGAUGAUGUGACAACCUGAAAUUUCUAUUAUGUACAAACAAUAUCAAGUGAAUAGAAGUUAGAACAGUUGCAGUAAGUUUUCAGACUUUUAGUAUAAGUUUGAGUAUUUCAGGAUUUUACACUUAAAGAGAUAUCAGGAGAGAGGAUGCACUAGGGUUUUGUGCAACUCUGUUAUUCCGAAACUCUAUGAUAUUAGAGUUCACUGCCUGAAUAAAAUAUUUUCUGCCAAAAACCACUGGGGUAUAUAUAUAUAUAUGGUUCUUAACCAUAUUUAUUCAUUUGUUACAUUUCCAACUAGAGAAAAGCCAAAUUCUCUCUCACAGAUCUUCAACCUUUCGUCCCAAAUCAUGAGUACUUCUAUCUAAGUGUAUUAUAGAGCUUAAUAUGUGUCUAAUAACCUAGAAAUCGUAUCAAAACAACAAGAUCAAAGAGUUUACGGCCCAAGAACAUCUUGGACCGUAAACCCUUCUUUAAGGGACAAAUGAGUGCCCUAGUCCCUUCCUUUUGCAAUGAAACUGGCCUAGACUCGUAUCCUAAUGUAUGUAGGACUAGAAAACACCCCAAGAACACCAAGAGUAAGGUGUUCACGGCCCAAGAAGUUCUUGGACCGUGAACUCCAAACAAAAGGGCCAAACUGUGCUUUAAACUCUCCAUAAGCCUUGGACACUAGCCUAGAUUCAUUCCUAGUUAAAUUAGGGACUUGAAAUCACCAAAAACACCAUACCCAUGAGAGAUUACGGCCGUAAUAUCUAAGGGAUUUGGUUCUAGGUCCGUAAACUCCUCAAAGGAGUUGAAAGGUGCCCUAAUCUCUUCCAAAGACUUUACAAUCAAGUAGAAAUGCUUCUAAGGGAUAUGUAAGACUUCAAAACACCAAAUAAUCUAAGGCCUAGGAGCUUACGACCGUAAACUCAAGAGUUUACGACCGUAAACUCAUUGUUGUUAUGGUCUUGGAGAGUUGAUAUGGGCUUAUUUAGUCAUAGAAAUCAUUCAUUAUCUUAUUAAUUAUUGUUGAUUUUAUAUCAUUUUAUGGACAAAAGGUACUUAAUUAGCUUAAUAUUUCAAUUUCAGCAAUAAAAGACAUGCUUGGAUGAAAAAGGAAGAGGAUUGAGUGAUUGGAAGCUUGGAGAUCAAGGAUUAAAGGAAGAAGCUAAGUAAAAGAAGAAAAUCGACGAGUUUUUAGCAUAAACUCGACGAGUUUAUUAGAAUAUUCUAGAUUUAAGGAUGCCUUGCCGUACACGCUAAACGCGCGAAUUAUUAAAGAAACUCGUCGAGUUAUUCUCAAAAACUCGACGAGUUGGGUCGAUUUUUGGAAACUAUAAAUAGAUAACUUAUAGGCCCGAAAACCUAACUUUUGCUGGAGGCUAGCUGCGAUUUUUGAAGAUCAGAAGGGUUCUUGGAGCUGCUAUUUUCGAGAUUGCAACCUAAGAAACAAUUUCAAAGAGAAUCAAAGGCAAAUAAUCAUUCUUCUUUUCUUAAUCUUUGUUUUGAACCAUGUUUGAAUCAUUAGAUUUUGAUUUUAGGUUAUUACUUGCUGUAGAUAUGAGCUAAAAGCUUUUUACUUCUGUUUGGAUGAGAUAAUCUUAUGAACAUGGUUUGAUUGAGUGGUUGAAUUGAUAUUAAUUUGGUUAUUCAUCUUGUUAAGCUUAUUAAAGAUCCUUAUGUAUUGAUGAUAAAUGUUUUUAGUUAACAAAUAAGUGAUUGAGUUGCAUGAAUAUCUUCUUGAUUACUUGAUUCAUAUAGUUUUAUGAAUAUAAGAUUGUAUGCCUAGGAAUAGUGAAUAUGAAACUAGGGUUAACUAUAAAAUAUGUAAAUCAAUGUGUGAGCAUGUGUGAUGAACAUCUAUACAUGAGUUGAUUGAAUUGAACAAAUUUAAUUAACUAUUAUUAUAAGUCUUGCUUGAUACGAACUGAACACUAGGAAACUUGUUAAUUUAAUCACUUGAUCACUGUUUGAAUUAACUUGUCUACUAAAGGAUUGGUAAUAAUGAACAUGAACCCAAUCAUAUUAGGAAUCGGUAACCAUUGAUGUAUUAAUUCAUUGCACUUGCCACGAAAUCAACCAUAGGAAUAAGUGAAUCGAAUCUAAACAGAAGUCUCUUUUAUUAUUGAAUCUAGUUGUCCUUUCUUAUUCUUCUUAGUUGUUAAUUGUCUUUGUUUGAAAGUUAAUUGAUUGAUAAGUUUCUAGUCUUGCAAAACUAGAGAAAACCCCCCUCUUUUAUUAAUUGUUUUUAAUUAGGUAAUACUAGUACUUAAUUUGAUUGUUACCGUUCCCUGUGUUCGAUACCCUACUUGCUUAAACUAAACUACUAUCGAUAGGUACACUGCCUGCGUGUGUUUGUUUACAUUUGAGUUUGUUAGGAUUAAAACUAGUUCGUUUUACACACAUCAAGUUUUUGGCGCCGUUGCCGGGGAACGGUUCUAAUAAUUAUAUUGUUUGCUGGUAUUAUCGAUCCUUUGUGUUAGAUCUUUCUUGCAUAAAGUUAUAUGUUUUCAGUUCUUAUUGAUUUUCUAUAGUUUUGCAUUAAACUCGUCGAGUUUAUUCUUCUGUUAACAGUUUCAUAAAUUCUUCGUUUUUUGUUCGUUUUACGCUUGUUUUUCUGUUUUAUUUUAGGUUUUUUAUGACCCGAGGCUCCAGUUGUACACCAAUACCACCCGUAGACAAUCCGGAGUUGAUUAUUCGCAAACAAAGAGGAAAAGGGAUCGAGUCUGACACAUCCACGUUUGGUGAAGAAAGCAAUCCCGAUCAAGGAGGUAAUAUGGCCGACAUCGCCGACAUACCGAUGGGAGAUUAGUAGAAGCGCAUAAGAGAUGGUACCGGGCCGGGACUCAUGCAACCUGCAAUUCCAGCUACCGCCAAUUUUGAGUUGAAGGGUCACAUCCUUGCACAACUAAAAGACAUUCCAUUCCAUGGAAAGGAGCACGAAGAUGCCUACAAGCAUAUUGAAGAAGUUAUGGACAUUGCUGACUAUUUCCAUAUGCCAAAUGUGCCUUGCGAUACUGUCUUACUACGGAUGUUACCGGUUACAUUCAAAGGAGCCGCGAAGGAAUGGUUGAAAUCUUUACCCCCGGAUCCAUUACAACAUGGCAAAAGAUGCGUGAGGAGUUCAUUGACCAGUUUUAUCCACCUUCUAAGAUUGCAAAAUUGAAGAAAGAAAUUGCUAACUUUGAGCAAUUGCCGGGAGAAUCACUCUAUGAGGCGUGGGAAAGAUAUAAGGGGUUAAUAAGAAAUUGCCCUCAAAAUGACCUAAACGUCCAACAAGAGGUUUCUAUCUUUUAUGAUGGCGUGAACGUCACAACUAGGCAAUUAUUAGACUCCCAAGGACCCCUCACGAAGAAAGCACCAGCUGUCAUUAAAACAUUAGUGGAAGAAUUCUCCAAACAUUCAAGAGAAUACCAUAAUCUAAGGAACGAUACAGCUAGAGGCGUGGAUAACUCAGUUUCCGAUGACAUGGCAGCAAUGAUGGCCAAACUAGAAAGUAUGGAUCGUAGGAUGACAAAGAUGGAUCAAUCCAUCCAUGCCAUAAGGGUGGGUUGUGACAAUUGUAGCGGUCCCCAUCUUACUAAGGAUUGCGAUCUUGAUGAGAACGACAACUGGAAGGUACAAGUUUGUUAUUCGAGUGGCGAUAGGUUUGAUGAUGAUUGGCGAAAGCCCAAGAAGGAAUGGCUCCCCUACGACGAGUACAAGAAGGAAAAGGAGGAAAAGUAUAGGAAAAAAGCAUGCGGGUUUUAUCAAAAAGAAGAACCGGCGCAAGAGAAGAAAAAGGAUCUUGAAGCUAUGUUAACUCGAUUCGUUAGUGCUUCCGAGAAAAGGCACGACGAAUCCGAUGCAGCCAUUAGAGAUCAACAAAAGAUGGUGAAGGAGCACCAAACCAUGAUGAUGGAUCAACAAGCUCUGCUCCGGAAUCAGCAAGCUUCAAUCUUGAAUAUUGAAAAACAGCUUGGGCAACUUGCCAAGCAAUUCAACGAAAGAACACCAGGCGGGCUUCCUAGUGACACGGAAAAAAAUCCAAAGGGAGCGCAUAUUAACAUAGUGACAACAAGGAGUGGGAAGAUAGUCACACCCCUCACUCCAAUCCCAAGUACAGAUCAAAAAGAGGCAAAAGAAAAAGAUCAAGAAAAUCCGAAUUCGCCAACAGUAGAUAAAACUCGUUGAGUUCCUGACAGAAACUCGACGAGUUCCGCACCUGAUGAGCAAAAUAAUUCAAAAGCUGAGCCAUUUAAGCCACCAUUACCAUUCCCGGGUCAAGCUCGCCAAGAGAAACAGAAUGAAGACUACCAGAAGUUCUUGGAGCACAUAAAGGCCUUACAAAUCAACAUUCCAUUCAUUAAAGCAGUCACACAAAUGCCAAAGUAUGCAAAGUUCCUAAAAGAACUUCUCACAAAUAGAAAGAAGGUGGAGGAAGCAUACAAGGUAGUCUUAAAUGAGAACUGUUCAACCGCAAUGUUAAACAAAUUACCAAAGAAAAAAGGUGAUCCGGGUAGCCUAACCAUUCCUUGCCAAUUUGGGAAUUUAGCCACUAGCUAUGCAUUGGCCGAUUCGGGGGCAAGUGUGAACCUCAUGCCAUACUCUUUCUUUAAAAAGCUAAACCUUCCGGAACCAAGACCAAUCCGUAUGGCGAUCCACUUAGCAAACAAGACGGUGACAUUCCCGAGAGGUAGAUGUGAAGAUUUAUUGGUAAAAGUCGAUAAGUUUGUCUUUCCGGCAGAUUUCAUUGUGCUAGAUAUGGAGGAGGACCAUCAAGUGCCAAUAAUCCUUGGAAGACCAUUCUUGAAUACCGUGGGUGCCAUAGUAGACAUACGAGACUCAAGGCUUACCCUUCGAGUGGGGGAAGACUCAGUUAUUUUUGGAAUGGAUCAAGCCAUGAAACAUUCGAAGUGUAGUUAUGAUACUGUCUUUUCAGUAGAUGUCUUGGAAGAAUUAUUAGAAGAAUGGAAAGAAGACGAAGCAAGCGAACACAUGUCGACUUCAGAAGAUGAUUUUGAUGCUGAGAGAGAUUUGAAAGAAUUAGAAAGACUUCUUGAAGAAUCAGAAUACGAAGAAUUGAUAAAGUCAAUAGAACAAAAAACUCGACGAGUUAAUCACAAUAACUCGACGAGUUUCUACGAAAAAUCAGGAUAUGAGGAAACUUUUGUUCUAAACUCGUCGAGUUUAAUUCCAGAAAUCGACGUGUUUGGUGUUCAGAGCACACAAUUGGAGCUGAAAACGUUACCAGAACACUUAGAAUACGCAUUUCUCGAAGAAGGUGAACAGAAGCCUGUGAUCAUUGCAUCGGACCUCACCCCAAUUGAAAAAGAUCAAUUAGUGAAGGUUUUGAAGAAAAGAAAGAACGACAUUGCAUGGAAAAUCACCGACAUAAAGGGGAUAAGCCCCUCUUAUUGUUCUCAUAAAAUAAUUCUUGAAGAAGGAGCAACGCCAGUGGUGCAACAUCAAAGGCGUUUGAACCCAAAUAUGCAAGAGGUAGUUAAGAAGGAGGUGGUAAACCUAUUGGAUGCGAGGAUCAUUUAUUCAAUUUCCGAUAGCCUGUGGGUAAGUCCCAUUCAAGUAGUGCCGAAGAAAGGAGGAAUGACAGUCGUGGCGAACGAAAAGAACGAGCUUAUUCCUACGCGAACGGUAACCGGUUGGCGAGUAUGCAUCGAUUAUCGAAAGCUAAACGAUGCUACUUGCAAAGACCAUUUCCCUUUACCCUUUAUUGAUCAAAUGCUUGAAAGAUUAUCCGGUCAUUACUAUUAUUGUUUUUUAGAUGGGUUUACAGGUUAUUUCCAAAUACCAAUUGAUCUGAAUGAUCAAGAGAAAACUACCUUCACGUGCCCUAGUGGAACGUUUGCAUACCGACGAAUGCCUUUUGGGUUGUGCAAUGCGCCUACCACUUUUCAACGAUGCAUGACGGCAAUAUUUCAUGAUAUGGUGAGGAAGUAUAUGGAAGUAUUCAUGGAUGAUUUUUCCGUGUUUGGUUCUUCUUUUGAUAAUUGUCUUACUAACCUUGACUUAAUGCUUGCCAGGUGUGAAAAGACCAAUUUAGUUUUGAAUUGGGAAAAAUGCCAUUUCAUGGUUAAAGAAGGCAUUGUGUUAGGUCAUAAAGUGUCCAAGGCGGGGAUUGAGGUGGAUCGAGCGAAAAUUGACACCAUUGCUAAAUUACCACCACCAACCAAUGUGAAGGGCGUUAGAAGUUUUUUGGGUCACGCGGGUUUUUACCGUCGUUUUAUCAAAGACUUUUCUAAAAUAACUCGACCUUUAACUCAGCUACUUUUAAAAGAUGCACCUUUUAAUUUUUCAACAGAAUGUUUAAAUGCUUUUGAAAUAUUGAAAACAAAAUUAACUAACGCCCCGAUCAUUAUCGCCCCGAAUUGGAAUUUACCGUUUGAAAUUAUGUGCGAUGCAAGUGAUUUUGCCUUAGGUGCUGUGCUUGGUCAAAGAGUCGAUAAACAUUUUCAACUAAUUUAUUAUGCUAGCAAGACCUUGAAUCCGGCUCAAGAAAAUUACACCACAACUGAAAAAUAAUUAUUGGCCGUGGUCUAUGCUUUUGAUAAAUUCCGUCCUUAUCUUAUAUUGUCCAAAACCACUGUUUUUACUGACCAUUCUGCAAUUAAAUUUUUAUUUGCUAAGCAGGACGCAAAACCAAGGUUGAUCCGGUGGGUGUUAUUACUUCAAGAAUUUGACAUUGAGAUCAAGGACAAGAAAGGAAUGGAAAAUGUAGCGGCUGACCAUCUCUCAAGAUUAGAGAAUCCAGAAAGGGAUGCAUCUGACCACAAGGGUAUUGGGGAUAGUUUUCCAGAAGAGUAUUUGAUGGUGAUAAUGGGAGAAGAACCAUGGUAUGCAGAUAUUGCGAACUUUUUAGCUGGGGACUUUCUUCCAAAAGGGCUAACUCAUCAGCAGAAAAAGAAACUCAUGUCAGAAAUUAAAUAUUAUUUCUGGGAUGAGCCAUAUCUUUUUAGGAGCUGUGCAGAUGGGAUCAUCAGAAGAUGUGUGUUUCGAAAGGAGAUCCGUGACAUUCUAGAGCAUUGCCACAAUGGGCCUGUAGGAGGACAUCAUGGAGUUCAAUACACUGCCAAAAAGGUGUUUGAUGCAGGAUUCUAUUGGCCCACAAUCUUUAAGGAUGCUGCCACCUAUGUGAGAGAAUGUGACGCGUGCCAGCGAUCGGGAAAUAUUUCUGCAAAGAAUGAAAUGCCUCAAAGAAGCAUCCAAGUGUGUGAAGUCUUCGAUGUGUGGGGUAUAGAUUUCAUGGGGCCAUUUCCAUCAUCAAAAGGGCACAAAUACAUACUUGUGGCAGUGGACUAUGUAUCAAAGUGGGCUGAAGCACGAGCGCUACCAACAAAUGACGCAAGGGUGGUGGUGAAAUUUUUAAAGAAUUUAUUCUCUAGGUUUGGAGUACCAAAGGCGUUGAUAAGCGAUAGAGGGACCCAUUUUGCCAAUGAACAACUAGCAAAGGUUUUGCAAAAAUAUGGUGUACGCCAUAGAUUUUCAACACCUUAUCAUCCGCAAACGAAUGGCCAAACUGAAAUAACAAAUAGAGCCCUCAAAAGAAUUUUGGAAAGGUCGGUAGGCAACCAUAGGAAAGAUUAGGCAGAUAAGUUAGAUGAUGCAUUGUGGGCAUUUAGAACUGCAUUCAAGGCACCUAUUGGAACAACACCUCAUAGAUUGGUUUAUGGAAAAAGUUGUCAUCUACCAGUGGAGUUGGAGCACAAAGCCUAUUGGGCUUUGAAAACGUGCAAUUUUUCCCCCAAUGAGUUGCGUACCAAUCGACUCUUGCAAAUGAAUGCCUUGGAGGAAUUAAGGAACGAGUCUUACAAUAACUCGUUGAUUUAUAAGGAUAAGACAAAGAAAUGGCAUGAUGCGAGAUUGAAAGGAAAUAAUGAGUUUGAAGAAGGGCAACAAGUACUUUUAUAUAACUCAAGACUUGAACUUUUUCCAGGAAAAUUACGCACUCGUUGGACCGGACCCUUCACAAUUAAACAUGUUUUUCCAGAUGGGGUAGUUGAAUUGUGGAAUAAAGAUGGAAUAAGUUUCAAGGUAAAUGGGCAUAGGAUCAAAAGAUAUGAGGAGGGCAGGCCAAAGGAAGUGGAAAUUGAAGAAGGGCUUGAUUUAGAGGCAACCGCUGCAACGUAAGGCGGAAAGGAGUCCAGCUAAAGACUCCUAAAAAACGAAGCGCUUGCGGGAGGCAACCCGGCAAUUGAGUUUGUUUUCUUUUUCUUGUAGUAUUUUAUUUAUUCUCUUUUUAUGUUUUUCGUUGUGUUUUUAGUCUUCAUCUUCAGAUUUUGCGUAAAUGAUUGCUGGGAGGGUUAUCAAAGCUGAGUGUGGGGUGUUUUGUGAUUUUCCUUAGAAAUAAUAUUUUUUCAUACAAAAAGAAAAACUCGUCGAGUUUAUUCCAAAAACUCGACGAGUCCAUUUUAAAAAAAAUUGCGAUUUACAGUUUUUCCGAUAAAAAAAAAAAAUAAAUAAAUAAUAAUAAUAAUAAUAAUAAUAAUAAUAAUAAUAAUAAUAAUAAUAAUAAUAAUAAUAAUAAUAAUAAUAAUAAUAAUAAUAAUAAUAAUAAUAAUAAUAAUAAUAAUAAUAAUAAUAAUAAUAAUAAUAAUAAUAAUAAUAAUAAUAAUAAUAAUAAUAAUAAUAAUAAUAAUAAUAAUAAUAAUAAUAAUAAUAAUAAUAAUAAUAAUAAUAAUAAUAAUAAUAAUAAUAUUUCUUUAUUGCUGGGUAUAAGUUUUAACCCUAAAAUUAAAACCAUUCCCUCAUUUGCCCCUCACGUCGGCAGCAAGAACCUCCCAAGCAACUUAUUCACUUUUGGUGUUUUAUUCUAAAUCUCUUCUCAAGGUAAGAUGUCUUCUCCUUUUACUUAUUAAAGCUCCAAUUUUUGGUUUAUGUAGGCACAAGAUGGUUUAAAGUUCUUCAAUUUUUGAGUUUUCAUAAGAACAUUAGGGUUUCGAAUUAGGCUAAAUUAGGAUGGUUUUGCUAGUUCUUUCCAUGGAUUAACGCUUAAAUAUAUACCCCAAGCAAACCCCUGAAGUAAUUUUUGAGUUUAGAAGAGUUGGAGAUCGAAAUUAUUUUCAGACCUUCUGCGAAACUUGACGAGUUCAUGAGGCUGGGAAGCUGAUUUAUUUUAUUUUUAACAUUGUUUAUGUUUGUUUGCUUUUCUGUGAUUUAUGGUUUUGCAGAAUCAUGUCCAGAAAUAGGGGCCAAAGUUCUAAAGGAAGUCAAAGGGGUUGUCCAUGGCUUGAUUUUCCACAAAUUGGUUCAAAAUCCACAUUGUUAGCAUGGAAAAGGAAACUGGAGAAACUGAAAAAGAAGGAGUUCUACUUGCCAAAUGAAAUAGAUUGGUCUUGUCUAGAGCAAUGGGGGUUGGUUGAACGAAUGAAUCCUCAUCUCACCAAGGUAUUCAUCCAAGAUGGAGUAAGGAUUACAUGUGAUGCUUGGAGGAGACUUUUCCGAUUGCAAGAACUGGUAUACCAGGAAUUAUGUUGGGAGUUUUAUUCUACUAUCAAGUUCCGUGGGAGUGAAGACUAUUUUGAUACAAAUGUUCUUACUUUCAUGCUUGGGGGUGAGUUCCGGGAAUGUAGUGUGGUAGAACUAGCAUGGCGAAUGGAUUUGUAUGAGCAAAAUGUGGCAAUGACAGAAGCCUUUGGAAUUUUUAUGGAAGCAUGUCACAAGGAUUUACCAAAUAUUGAGGAUGCAUCAAGGUGGUGGAGCACAAUUGCCAAUGGAGAUUAUAUUCCAUCCGCGGCCCAAUAAACGAGCAUCCGAUCACCGGUCCAUUGUCUUCUUCGUCGACUCAUCGCAAGCUCCAUCAAUAUGAGAAGGGAUGAUGAUAAAGUGCCAAGCAGAGAUGUUUUCUUUUUAUGGUGUAUUCUUACACCUAACCAGUUUUGUAACAUUCCGUAUUGUUUAGCAAAGUAUUUAGCGGAAAGUGGAGUGAAGGAGAGAUCAACUUCAAAGAUAUGUGGUGGGAUGUUCAUAACUAAAUUGGCAAGAUCUUAUGGAAUUCUUGAAGGAAGAAUUGGAAAUCAAUUAACAAUGGUGUCACAACCCGCAUUUAGUCCUCUUCUUUAUAGAAGGGCUAAAAUUAUUGUAGAUUAUGGCGGGGGCCAUGUUAAUAUUCCAUCAGUGGAUGAUGCGGAAUUAUCGGAACAACCGGGGAGGCGGGUUCGUCCACGACCAACACAUAUGCAAGAAAAUCCCCCCCGUUAUUCCAAUAAAUGAUGAGCUUCCCAUGGAUCCUUAUAAUGUUGAGCAAAGGGCGUUUCAACAUGAUUUAGCAAGCAGAUUGAAUUAUGGACAUAGGAAUUUGGCUCAUAUGAUGUCUCAUUUGAACACUCCAAGGAUGGAAAAUGAACCGGAAUACCCGUAUGUGAGGAGUUGGAGUGAGAGAUGGAGUAUGCGUCAAAGUGGAGCCGGAGGAAGCGGGUUAGGAGAAGAAGAAAGUGAAGAUGAAGAUUAAUUAUCCUUUCCUUUAUCUUUUAUUUUGUUGGCUUGUUUAAACUAUUUUUCUUUGUUUUUGUUUGUUUUGUAUGUUUAUUUUGAUGUUUAAACUUCUAGUAAUUUAGGAUUUUAUUUGGUGUGUUUUCCUUUUAUUACUUUUUGUUUUUUUUUCUUUUGUUGUUCUCAGAAUAUAUGUUGAGGGAAAGAAUGACAGAAUAUAGCGUGAGGGGUAUGAAGUGAGAUCGAGUCUAAAAUGAGAAGAGUGAGAGGAUUACGUCUAUUCGCAAGAGUGGUGAACAAAAGAACUAAAAAGAUAUGUUUUACUGCAGAAGAAUGAAGGGGAAUAUUGCCAUAAUCAUUCCCUUCAAAGCCAGAAUCGAAAAAUGAAGUUGCGGAAUAUGAUGUUCACAGAAAGAAAAACUCGUCGAGUUCUUUACAUAAACUCGACGAGUUCCUUCGAAGAAUCGCAAAUCUACAGUUUUUGCAACUAAACUUAAUAAGUUCACUUUAUUCUCGGCGAGUGGAUCUUUUUCUUACCUUUGAGUUGGUGAUUUGACUACAAUUUAAGGAGGCAAUUGGCUGCGCUAUCAAUGAUUAUUUUCCGAGAAAUUUCCAACACCUUUUUCCUCUAUAUUUUGGAGCAUAACCACACGAGAUUUGAUACCCAAGGCGUGGAUGAGCUGUUCCCAUGUCCAAAGUCAGCUGAAGAAGGAGCUCAAAAGAAGAAUAUCAACCUUGCAACUUCUAUCCCAGGGGAGUCUGUUCCAAUUCUCUCUUUACUUUUAUGUUCUAUAUCAUGCAUAACAUGCAAUGGGGACAUUGCAUAAUUUAAGUGUGGGGUAGGGGGUUGAUUACAUUUAGUGAAAAAAAAUUAGAAUCCUUUGAAUCAUUGGUUUGAAAAAAAAAAUUUGCAUAAAAAUUGGUAGGGCGUAAUUUAGAAAAUUUUGGUAAAGCAAUUAGGAUUCCAUGCCAGUAUUGUAUUUGAUGAUUCUAUGAAGACCCAAAUGUUUAGUUGAGCCAACAUACGUUAUAGUGCAUUUGUGGCCCCCUUUAUUCUAGUGAAAUCAUGGGACAAAAACACAACCUCUCUUAGUUUGAGGGUCACAAAAUGUUUAGCAUCGUGUACCAGAAAUGUAUCCAGGAAAGCUUAAGUAGUCAUUGCACACUAGACUAAUGCCAUUAACCAAUAAAGGAUGAAGUUAAAUUCCCUUGCUUAAGCAUAUGUUUUUCUAGGUUUUUAGUUUUGAGUGGAAAAAGUGCGUUGAAAAAAAAAGUUGAAAAAAAAAGUGAUGAAAUGUUUGAAUAAAGAAUCUACAAAGCUGUGAAGACAAAGAAGAAUAUCAUGAAGAAAAGCUGCAAAGUAUAAAAGAUUCAAUCAAAAGUUGUAUUUGUCUUUUAUUUGUAAUUUUCUUUUCUAGGUUAUUUUAUCGUAUGUAUGCUUGGGGAUUUAACCAAAAAUGACUUGAGGUUAAGAAAGUUUUCUAGGGAUGGAUUCGGAGGGAUGCAUAAAAUGAGCGUUGUUCGAAAGAAGUGGGCGAGUGUUUAUGAGGAUUGUGAGUAUUUAGAAUUGAGGGGGGUUCUUAGGAAAAUUUUAGACACAAAUGCAUGCGUUGCGGUCUUGGCAUAAUGGCUGGGUUCGAUUGGGAUUGUCUUAUGUGGUAUUAGUGUGCUAAAAUUCGGUUUUGCUUGGGGGCAAGCAAAAGUCAAGUGUGGGGUAUUUUGAUAUGGGCUUAUUUAGUCAUAGAAAUCAUUCAUUAUCUUAUUAAUUAUUGUUGAUUUUAUAUCAUUUUAUGAACAAAAGAUACUUAAUUAGCUUAAUAUUUCAAUUUCAGCAAUAAAAGACAUGCUUGGAUGAAAAAGGAAGAGGAUUGAGUGAUUGGAAGCUUGGAGAUCAAGGAUUAAAGGAAGAAGCUAAGUAAAAGAAGAAACUCUACGAGUUUUUAGCAUAAACUCGGCGAGUUUAUUAGAAUAUUCUAGACUUAAGGAUGCCUUGCCGUACACGCUAAACGCGCGAAUUAUUAAAGAAACUCGUCGAGUUAUUCUCAAAAACUCGACGAGUUGGUAGGUACACUGCCUGCAUGUGUUUGUUUACAUUUGAGUUUGUUAGGAUUAAAACUAGUUCGUUUUACACACAUUAAGAGUAAACUCAAGAAUGGGGUCCUUUGGAACCCUAAACCCACUAGCCUUGUCCUACAACAACUUAGAUGCAAUCCUUAGGGCUAAUAACACUUAUAUAAAGUGUUUAUCAUGUUCUAGGAAGUCUUAACAUUUUCAAUUAGUAGUUUAAGACUAAUUGGGUGCAUAUAUGUGUGCUUAUAUGUUAACUAGGAUCUUUGGGUGUGUACAAGUUUUCACUUGACACUUAACAGUCCUACACCGUUCAGUUCAUUCAAACCACCAUCUACAGGUGAGUUCAUACCCCUUAAUCAAUGGUUUAAAUGUUUUUAAAUGCUUUAUGGGGGGAUACAAGUUAAAUACUUAUAGUUAUUACAUAAAUCACAUGUGAUUAAUAACUACAAAACCAGUGAUUUUCUUACUGUUCAAACUAUUUAUCAAACUAUUUUGCUUCAAACUGUUUUACUUAGAAAAUACUUAUACUUAAGCUCUUUUAUACUUAUUAUCAAAUUUCUUGCCCAGAUAUGUAUAGUUAUAUAAGUAAUGUUUGAAGGACUUAGGAAGGCUAACCCGCCUUAUUUCCUUUUCCUCGAUGGGAUGUGGUCUGGUAGGAUAUCGGGUAUCCGUCCGAAGGUCGUUUAACUAUUAGUUAUAUAUCAUGUGUACAUAUAUAGUCAUAAAGUUUCUUCCAGUCAAUUCAAUACCCUGGGUAGCAGGGGUAUACUCCCAUGUUCAUACGUACAAGUUAUAUUACUAGUAAACUACAAUAGGCGUAGUUUAGGGUUUUACUAAUACUAAUACUAGAACAAUGAAUCAUACAAAGAGUCAGUUCAUACAUGAGUCAUAACUUAUAGUGAUGAGAAACAAACAUAAUACAUAGUGAUGAGAAACAAACAUAGUACAUAGUGAUGAGAAAAAAACAUAAUACAUAGUGAUGAGAAACAAACGUACAUGCUAGACAGAGGAAGAACAAACAAUACAGCUAGCACAUACAUUACAUAUACAUUACAUUCAGUUGUGUGAGCCAUUAAAUGGGUCAUGGCACUACCUUCCAUGACCGUUUUUGUAUCCCGAAUCUCCUUAAUUGGGGAGCGUAUGAGUUUACAUAUAGAUCUAUACUGGAUUGACUAUCCUACACCUUGUUGCUCGCUACAGUGGGACUUGCAAGUCUACGGGUGCCAAAUGUCAUUUCUUACGGUGUCUUACAUCGUCGUUUUACUAUUGGUCGGUAGCAGGGUAUAGGCCGAUCACAUGGAACUUUAAAUAACAAUUGGUUUAAGGUAGUUAGUACAGUAGUAGUUGCUUAAUACAACACUACAGUACUAUAAGAUUUAUCCCAUUACAUUCACUUCGUGAACAUUCACACGAUGCACGGUAAUGUAAAAACUAUAUUUUUGGUUAAUGAUAGUCGGAUUUGGGAAAAUACACACUCUUACAAGAGACACACACAGUUACUAGAUGCCUUGGUAGAAGGCUACUCUUAGUAGGAAACAUAGGGUUUUCUAGGAUAGUUCAAACAAAUACAAACAUUACAAAACUUAUACAUUACAUCUUACAAACAUCUUAAAAAUUUCUUUCAUACAAACUCAGACACUAAUAUACUUAUGAUCUCACCAGCUUUAAAAGUUGAUACUCGCUUUCAAAAUAACUUGUAUUCUCAGGUCACCAGUAGACAGGUACCGGUUCCAGGUUUUUGAGAAGAUGGAGCUUGUUCAAGACUCCUCUUUUAUUUUGAUGUACUUUUUGGCAUCUAUUUAACUUGACAGAAUACACUUGUAUGAAAUUAUAUUAUUAAUGUAAUGGAUGAUAUUGUUGCUUGUUUACUACUUUGCAUUGUUGUGAUAUUAUACAUGACGUCCUCCACCCCCGAAUGAUUCCGCCGCUCAGGUUUUGGGGUGUGACACAAUUGAUCCGUAUAUCAAUAUUAAACUCGAAUUUAUCAUCUUUUAACGAAAUUGUGGGUCUGUAUGAGUGCUCUAGGCUUAGUAUAACCUAGAAAUGAGUCUUAAGAAGUAUUAGAAAGUGUGUAACAUAAGAAAAACGAGAAAAUCACACCAAAGUAGGUGUGUGUGGCCAGCCAGCCGCACACACACCCUCGGCCACACACCCAACCCUAUAUAUAGGAGAGGACCCCCUUUCAUUCAUUUUUUCUCCUUUGACUGCACACUACUUUCUCCCUCUACUUUCUCUCUCUAAAUCUCAUCCAAGAACACUUUAAGGGCCUCAAAUACGUGAAUAACUCCAUCAUCUAGCUUGUUAUACAGGUAAAACACCUAAAUCUAAGCCUGAAACUCUUCAUGUACUUCGUGUUCUUCAUCCUUUGAAGGAGUGUGGCUGCA